ACAUCCAGUUUGGUGCCGCUGCCGAAAGUGACCCACAGUGAUACAAACUAAUAGAGCAGCUGAACAAAAACCUCCUGAACGCUUCACUAACUGCACAAACACACAUCAGCUGAGUCUCCAACAAACACAUCCACUCACAGCACAAACUACCUUCAUUUACUUCAUCUGCUUUAUGCAGUCUGUGUUAUUACUAAAGCAUGAACAUGAGUUUAAGAAAUUAACUUUUACAUCAUGUGUGACGCGACUGACAAUCAGACUCAGUUGAUUCAGUGACUGACAGAGACACGUGUGAUGAUCCUCAUGUCUGUUAAAAUCCUGCAGAAACAUCCAUGGAUUUGGUGUAAAACUUAGGAAUUUACAGUCGUGUUUCUGUCCAACUACAGUCAUAAAUAUUUUCGAAGUCUCACAGGAGAGAGUCAGGAUCAUAUACUAAAGUUGGCCUUGAAUACUGAUUCAGAAGUUAAUGAUCUGAUAUCAUUUAUAACAGCUUGGUUAUUAGAAGAUCAAAUAUUGAAAGAUUAAUUAGUAAUUGUAUUUUGUGUCUGUUAAUGAGCGACUGUCUUCAGGUAAAUGAUCUGGAGUGUGUUUGCAUAUUGAUCAGAUGCUUCAGUGCUCUGAGAGUGUUUAUAGUGCUGUGAGUUUAACACUUCAUCACUGACACACACAACAAUCUUCAUCAACAUGACCUUUAUCAUCAUCUUCAUCUGGACUCUCACAGCGUUUGCUCAAGAGUGUAGAGGACAGAUCACCGUCACUCAGAGUCCCUCAACGACAGCAGCUCGACCAGAAGAAACAGUCAAAAUCAACUGUAAAACCAGCACAGAUGUGUACAGUUAUUCUGGGACAUACUUUUUCAGCUGGUACUUACAGAAACCUGGAGAAGCUCCUAAACUCCUGAUUUAUUACGCAAGCACCCUCCAGUCAGGAACUCCAUCUAGAUUCAGUGGCAGUGGAUCUAACAGUGAUUUCACUCUGACCAUCAGUGGAGUCCAGACUGAAGAUGCUGGACAUUAUUACUGUCAGAGUUAUCACAGUGGUGGUGUGUUCACACAGUGAUAAAGAGUUGUACAAAAACCUCCGUCAGUCAGAGUCACAGAGACUGAACUGAUCCUGCAGCUGCUCAAACACUAUCACUCACUACUGACACACAGAGACAAACACAGCAACUACACAUGAGCUCAGAACUGAGUUAGGAGUUCGGUAGUGAUGCACGGCUGGCGGUUGUAUCCGCAGGUGGGUCUGCGGGUGGGUCAUGUAAUAAAAAAAUACAUUCUAAUUAAUUGCGGGUGGGUCGCGGGUGGAUGAGGUAAAUCAUUAGUGAUGCAAAUAUUCUCUAAAAUAUGAACGUGUUUUAAAUUCAUUUUUUCGUCAGGCAGACAGACACACAGAUUUCAUUUUUGUGUGUGUUCGCUGUUCGGAAAGUUGCAGUGACAGAUACAGUGGCAUUCCAGAUAAAGUUUGAAUGGAGUAAAGCGUGUGUUUAUGCUAUCAAGAAAGUGAAGACUAUAAUCUGGACAAAGAAGAACUUUGUGUUUUAAUUAAAUGUUCAUUUAAAAGCAGCAUAUUAUCAUUGUAUUAGCCUGUUACCGUUACGGCUCCGUUCUCCACGCGGUGCCAAAUCACACCAGGAGCAAAGCAACUGGAUUCGCGAGACCACGAGAUUCUGGGAUGCUUCUGAAACAUGCCGCAGCAUGGCUGGUAUAAUAUAUAUACAUAUCUAUGGGUAUAAACACAAGCUUUGACUUGACUAGA